UACGUAGGGUGCGAGCGUUAAUCGGAAUUACUGGGCGUAAAGCGUGCGCAGGCGGUUAUGUAAGUCAGAUGUGAAAUCCCCGGGCUUAACCUGGGAAUUGCAUUUGAGACUGCAUGGCUAGAGUGUAGCAGAGGGGGGUAGAAUUCCACGUGUAGCAGUGAAAUGCGUAGAGAUGUGGAGGAAUACCGAUGGCGAAGGCAGCCCCCUGGGUUACUACUGACGCUCAUGUACGAAAGCGUGGGGAGCAAACAGG
rnacentral:rRNA from 1 species